CUGCUAUACAUGCAGUCGAGCGGACCGACGGGAGCUUGCUCCCUUAGGUCAGCGGCGGACGGGUGAGUAACACGUGGGUAACCUGCCUGUAAGACUGGGAUAACUCCGGGAAACCGGGGCUAAUACCGGAUGCUUGAUUGAACCGCAUGGUUCAAUCAUAAAAGGUGGCUUUUAGCUACCACUUACAGAUGGACCCGCGGCGCAUUAGCUAGUUGGUGAGGUAACGGCUCACCAAGGCGACGAUGCGUAGCCGACCUGAGAGGGUGAUCGGCCACACUGGGACUGAGACACGGCCCAGACUCCUACGGGAGGCAGCAGUAGGGAAUCUUCCGCAAUGGACGAAAGUCUGACGGAGCAACGCCGCGUGAGUGAUGAAGGUUUUCGGAUCGUAAAACUCUGUUGUUAGGGAAGAACAAGUACCGUUCGAAUAGGGCGGUACCUUGACGGUACCUAACCAGAAAGCCACGGCUAACUACGUGCCAGCAGCCGCGGUAAUACGUAGGUGGCAAGCGUUGUCCGGAAUUAUUGGGCGUAAAGCGCGCGCAGGCGGUUUCUUAAGUCUGAUGUGAAAGCCCCCGGCUCAACCGGGGAGGGUCAUUGGAAACUGGGGAACUUGAGUGCAGAAGAGGAGAGUGGAAUUCCACGUGUAGCGGUGAAAUGCGUAGAGAUGUGGAGGAACACCAGUGGCGAAGGCGACUCUCUGGUCUGUAACUGACGCUGANGCGCGAAAGCGUGGGGAGCGAACAGGAUUAGAUACCCUGGUAGUCCACGCCGUAAACGAUGAGUGCUAAGUGUUAGAGGGUUUCCGCCCUUUAGUGCUGCAGCAAACGCAUUAAGCACUCCGCCUGGGGAGUACGGUCGCAAGACUGAAACUCAAAGGAAUGACGGGGGCCCGCACAGCGGUGGAGCAUGUGUUUAAUUCGAAGCAAC
rnacentral:rRNA from 1 species